rnacentral:rRNA from 1 species
UACGGGGGGGGCAAGCGUUGUCCGGAAUUACUGGGCGUAAAGGGCUUGUAGGUGGUCAAUUAAGUCAGACGUGAAAUCCCUCGGCUUAACCGGGGAACUGCGUCUGAUACUGGAUGGCUUGAGUGUGGGAGAGGGAUGCGGAAUUCCAGGUGUAGCGGUGAAAUGCGUAGAUAUCUGGAGGAACACCGGUGGCGAAGGCGGCAUCCUGGACCAUUACUGACACUGAAAAGCGAAAGCCAGGGGAGCAAACGGG